rnacentral:rRNA from 1 species
AACACAUGCCAAAGUCGAACGGCAGCACAGAAGAGCUUGCUCUUUGGGUGGCGAGUGGCCGGGACGGGUGAGUAAUGUCUGGGAAACCUUGCCCGAUGGAGGGGGAUAACUACUGGAAACGGUAGCUAAUACCGCAUUAAACGUCGCAAGACCAAAGUGGGGGACCCUUCGGGCCUCACACCAUCGGAUGUGCCCAGAUGGGAUUAGCUAGUAGGGGUGGGGUAAUGGCUCACCUAGGCGACCGGAUCCCUAGCUGGUCUGAGAGGAUGACCAGCCACACUGGAACUGAGACCAACGGUCCAGACUCCUACGGGAGGCAGGCCAGUGGGGAAUAUUGCACAAUGGGCGCAAGCCUGAUGCAGCCAUGCCGGCCGUGUAUGAAGAAGGCCUUCGGGUUGGUUAAAGUACUUUCAGCGGGGAGGAAGGCGGUGAGGUUAAUAACCUUGCCCGGAUUGACGUUACCCGCAGAAGAAGCAACCCGGCUAACUCCGUGCCAGCAGCCGCGGUAAUACGGAGGGUGCAAGCGGUUUAAUCGGAAUUACUGGGCGUAAAGCCGGCACGCAGGCGGUCUGUUAAGUCAGAUGUGAAAUCCCCGGGCUUAACCCUUGGGAACUGCAUUUGAAACUGGCAGGGCCUUGAGUCUCGUAGAGGGGGGUAGAAUUCCAGGUGUAGCGGUGAAAUGGCCGUAGAGAUCUGGAGGAAUACCGGUGGGGCGAAGGCGGCCCCCUGGACGAAGACUGAC